GAUGAACGCUGGCGGCGUGCCUAAUACAUGCAAGUCGAGCGAACAGACGAGGAGCUUGCUCCUCUGACGUUAGCGGCGGACGGGUGAGUAACACGUGGAUAACCUACCUAUAAGACUGGGAUAACUUCGGGAAACCGGAGCUAAUACCGGAUAAUAUAUUGAACCGCAUGGUUCAAUAGUGAAAGACGGUUUUGCUGUCACUUAUAGAUGGAUCCGCGCCGCAUUAGCUAGUUGGUAAGGUAACGGCUUACCAAGGCAACGAUGCGUAGCCGACCUGAGAGGGUGAUCGGCCACACUGGAACUGAGACACGGUCCAGACUCCUACGGGAGGCAGCAGUAGGGAAUCUUCCGCAAUGGGCGAGAGCUUGACGGAGCAACGCCGCGUGAGUGAUGAAGGUCUUCGGAUCGUAAAACUCUGUUAUUAGGGAAGAACAAAUGUGUAAGUAACUAUGCACGUCUUGACGGUACCUAAUCAGAAAGCCACGGCUAACUACGUGC
rnacentral:rRNA from 1 species